AUUGCACAAUGGGGGAAACCCUGAUGCAGCGACGCCGCGUGAGUGAAGAAGUAUUUCGGUAUGUAAAGCUCUAUCAGCAGGGCAGAAAAUGACAGUACCUGACCAAGAAGCCCCGGCUAACUACGUGCCAUCCUCCGCGGUAAUACGUAGGGGGCAAGCGUUAUCCGGAUUUACUGGGUGUAAAGGGAGCGUAGACGGUUAUGUAAGUCUGGAGUGAAAGCCCGGGGCCCAACCCCGGGACUGCUUUGGAAACUGUGUAACUGGAGUACAGGAGGGGCAGGCGGAAUUCCUGGUGUAGCGGUGAAAUGCGUAGAUAUCAGGAGGAACACCGGCGGCGAAGGCGGCCUGCUGGACUGAAACAGACGUUGAGGCUCGAAAGCGUGGGGAGCAAACAGA
rnacentral:rRNA from 1 species